AUGAAAUUUUGCAGGGAAACCAUGGAAGAUAUGGCAGAUGGAGACUAUUCUGAUUCUGAGCAAAUGAUUAUUAAUGACCUUUCUGCAAUGUCACUUUUGCAACAUGUGCUGUUCGGAAGGCUAUUCAAAACACCACGUAAUACCUCUAAAUUAACUGGUGCGCAAAAGACUAGAGAGUGGUUGGAAGGACAUCCAGUUAGAUUUUAUGAACAACUUCGUGUUGAUAAGCACACCUUCUACUUAUUGCGAGAUGCAUUGUGCGAGAGGAAUUUACUUACAGAUACAAAACGGAUGGACGUCAAUGAACAACUAGUCAUAUUUCUACAUACAAUUGGUCACAAUGUUAGGAACCGUGUUAUCCAGGAUAGAUUUCAACAUUCAGGAGAAACAAUAAGUCGGCAUUUCAAGAGAGUAUUAAAAGCCAUUAAUGGCUUACGUGAUGUUUACAUAACAGAUCCGUCCAAUGAAGUUCCCAACGAAAUAUUGGGCGACUCAAGGUUUUACCCAUACUUCAAGAACUGUAUGGGAGCAAUUGAUGGGACACAUAUUAAUGCAAAAAUCAAGCUUGAUAAACAAACUCCUUACAGAAAUAGGCAUGGUUAUCCCUCUCAAAAUGUAAUGGCAGUAGUGUCAUUUGACAUGACAUUUUCAUAUGUGGCUGCUGGAUGGGAAGGUUCCGCAUCGGAUCAAGCCGUAUUAAGGUGGGCUGUUACUGAUGGUGGGUUUGUUGUCCCAAAAGGUAAAAAUAAAAAAUACAUGAAUUUACAUGCAAGUAAAGUUUGUCUCAUUGUAUCAAACAUGUAA
rnacentral:rRNA from 1 species